rnacentral:rRNA from 1 species
CGGAGGAUCCAAGCGUUAUCCGGAAUCAUUGGGUUUAAAGGGUCCGUAGGCGGGUUUAUAAGUCAGUGGUGAAAGCCCAUCGCUCAACGAUGGAACGGCCAUUGAUACUGUAGAUCUUGAAUUAUUAGGAAGUAACUAGAAUAUGUAGUGUAGCGGUGAAAUGCUUAGAGAUUACAUGGAAUACCAAUUGCGAAGGCAGGUUACUACUAAUGGAUUGACGCUGAUGGACGAAAGCGUGGGUAGCGAACAGGAUUAGAUACCCUGGUAGUCCACGCCGUAAACGAUGGAUACUAGCUGUUCGGAGCAAUCUGAGUGGCUAAGCGAAAGUGAUAAGUAUCCCACCUGGGGAGUACGUUGCAAGAAUG